rnacentral:misc_RNA from 1 species
UCCGGUUUGACACCGGCAGUCUCCCUAGAGUGCCCGGCUUUACCCAGAAGGCCCUAUCUCUAGGGUUGUCAGAGGCAUUCUAGCCCAGGUAAGGUUCUUCGCGUUGCGUCGAAUUAAACCACAUGCUCCACCGCUUGUGCGGGUCCCCGUCAAUUCCUUUGAGUUUCAGUCUUGCGACCGUACUCCCCAGGCGGAAUGCUUAAAGCGUUAGCGACGGCACCCGGGGACUAUAUAACCCCAGACACCAAGCAUUCAUCGUUUAAGGCUAGGACUA